UAUUAUGAGAUGAUAUUGUUCUUAAAAUUCAAUUGUGGGCAGAUAUUUUACUGUUCUUUUUGGGGUCUCAAGGAGUAUCGGGAUUGGCUCACAGGUUCCCUCUCUCUCUCUCNNNNNNNNNNNNNNNUCNCNCNCUCNCUCUCUCUCUCUCUACUACUACCUACCUACCUACCUACCUACCUACCUACCUACCUACUACUACUACUACUACUACUACUACUACUACUACUACUACUACUACUACUACUACUACUACUACUACUUACUUACUUACUUACUUACUUACGUUACGUUACGUUACGUUACGUUACGUUUACGUUUACGUUUACGUUACGUUUACGUUACGUUUACGUUACGUUACGUUACGUUACGUUACGUUACGUUACGUUACGUUACGUUACGUUACGUUACGUUACGUUACGUUACGUACGUUACGUUACGUUACGUUACGUACGUACGUACGUAGUAGUAGUAGUAGUAGUAGUUACGUUACUACUACUACUAUGUGUGUGUUGUUAGUUAGUUAUUAUUAGUUACGUUAACCGUUAACCGUAACCGUACCGUACGUAGUAGUAGUACGUCGUACGUAGUUAGGUUGGUUUGGUUUGUUACGUUACGUUACGUUACGUUAGUUAGUAGGUAGGUAGGUAAGUAGUAGUAUAUAUAGUUAUUAUUAUUAUUAUUCGUUUGUUUAGUUUAGUUUAGUUUGUUUCGUUUUCGGUUUGGGUUAGGUUCGUUCGGUUGGUUAGUAACGUUAAUUAUUAGUAGUAGUAGUAUUAGUUGUUUUAACGUUUUAAACUUUAAACUUUAAACUUUAGGUUUGGGUACGGACGGAAGUUAAUUUUAAGUUUUACUUUUUCGGUUUUUUCGGGUUUCGUUCGUACGGUAAGUAGGUACGGUUAGGUACGGUCGUCACGUACGUCUCUCUCUCUCUCUCUCUCUCUCUCUCUCUCUGUCUCUCUCUCUAUACACACACACACACACACACACACACACACAUAUAUAUAAUACCGAACUGUAAUAUAUCCUAGUUUAACCUUGAGGGUUUCAUAGUUUUAAAUCUUCAAUAUGUUCUUUCUUUUCUCUUGG
rnacentral:lncRNA from 1 species